UACGAAGGGUGCUAGCGUUGUUCGGAAUUACUGGGCGUAAAGAGCGCGUAGGCGGUUAUACAAGUCAGAGGUGAAAUCCCAGAGCUUAACUCUGGAACUGCCUUUGAAACUGUAUAGCUGGAGUAUGUGAGGGGAUAGCGGAAUUCCUAAUGUAGAGGUGAAAUUCGUAGAUAUUAGGAGGAACACCGGUGGCGAAGGCGGCUAUCUGGCACAUUACUGACGCUGAGGCGCGAAAGCGUGGGGAUCAAACAGG
rnacentral:rRNA from 1 species